UCUACUGAGAAUUGUUUUUUAGUUGACUUCCCAGUAACUUUUAUGAGUUACAGGGAGUUGGACCUGAUAUAUCAAUCAACGUUUAUGUAUAUGAAUCCCUGAGGUCUCAUUGGCAAAUGGAAAGUUGAAUGUCAAACUGUGCGACCAAUGAUUUGCUAUGGUUAAUUCCAGUUGGGUGUGUUAACCUACAGUAAUCAAUCAAGUCAACAAAUAUAACAAUGAUACUUUGUCUUCUGAUUUUUGGUGGUGAUUUUUUUUGUGACUGAACUAACAGGAGCUGAAGCAUGUGUUCUUAUUUUUUUAUAUGACUAGAUGCAUAUGAACUGAAGCUCCAUAAUUUUCUUUUCAAGUCGACAUUGGUGGCAACUCCCUACAAUUAGCGUUAUUUACAACCAAUGAAGUCUUAUAAUUUUCUUUCUUAGAAAUAUACAGUGACACUGACUAUCAUUUAGUAGCUCUACAGGCACUAGCCAAAAACAAUAAUGUUUAUUUAUUUAACCACCAAAUAGAACAAUAGGUUAUUCUGCAUUAUGGGUACACAAAUCACAACACUAUAUUUCAGCUGUAGAAAUCUGUGUGGAUGCCUGCUGAUAUUUUAAGCCUACAUAUUGCCGAUUUGGUUUGAGGAAUGCUUGAAGCAUAAUUUACUCCCUAAUGUGCAAAUAGCAGUAUCAUUUUUUGUCAAGAAACUGAGAAGACGGAAGAGAGUUGGUGUUGUCAGUGUGGUGAGCCUAUGCGGCAACCACAAGGCUGAAGUCUGCUUUGAUCGUUGUUCAAGAUUUGAGCCUUGGCUCCGGUUUUGAUAGCUCUAUAUCAGGAGUACAUGUCAUGAUUGUUGGAUACACAUGCAGACUUUCAGCGAGUUUUUGUUCUCGGACUUGGGAUCCACAGUCCAAAGUUGAUUGGUGGAUCAAGUGAACUUGGUGCAUCUCCAUUC